rnacentral:misc_RNA from 1 species
AACAAUUGGAAAUAGGCUAUAAUUUUGAGUGACUGGAUUGGAAUCAACUUACAAAUGUCUCAAAACCUAAGCCUCAGCCAAUUAAUUUUCAUCAACAAUGCACUAUCUUAAGAAGCAUAUGUUUGCACGAAACUUUACAUGGUUAGAGCACAACAAUUUCAGUUCUUGCAAGAUGGGACUUGAGGUGGAUUCCUUCAAAAUAUGAACACAAGCCUAUUGUAUAUCUGAAUGACACAUUUUACUUUCCCA